rnacentral:lncRNA from 1 species
AGUCAGUGGGCCUGGCAGAACCAAGGGCACUUCAGAGAGUCUUAUUGGAACAGCACUGUGCAGACUCUGGGCUUAGAGAGCUGAGCAAGACAGUGGAGUCCCUCUGGAGACCCAGAGACAAGAGGAAAGCAAAGACCAGCUAUGAAAGCACAUCCAAAGGCCUGAGCAUUCCCAGGGAUGAUCUGCAGAGGACCUGGACAUGGUUGAUGCAAAUCUUGGUGGACACUAUAGGAUGUGUUAGGUUCAGGCCCACAGGACAGGAUCAGAGUUCACAGCACAAAGACCCUGUUCUCUGCCAGGGUCUGAGCACUUUCAGGGAACACUUCCCAGAGUUUUCCACUCACAGAGCCUGAAAUACAGGUGGAAAUGAGCAGCUCUAUGUUAUGACAAAUCAGUCGACGAGUAUCUAUUCUCCACCUCCUUGGUGUCUGGCGCUGUGUGAGGCACAGGCAGCGUAAGGGUGAAUAAGGUACAAAGAACCCUGCUGUCACUGAGCUGUUAGCUGAGAAGGUAGAGAGGACAUGAAGCCAAUCAUUACAAGGCAUCCCAAAAGAUAAAUGAACAAGUGGCAUGGAGUUGUGGCCACGCUUGUGGAGUAUGAGCUCAGGCUAUUCCCCUUCAAAUACUGAUUCAAGACGACAGGAGAUGAUCUUGAGCAGGAUGCAGAAGUUUCUGAGCCUGAAUUUCCCUAAUUGUAAAAUGGGAGAAUUUCUAGUAGCUCCCUGAAAGCACUGAAUGAGAAGUAAAUGUAUUAAUACUUGUAAAUUGUGCCCACAGUAUGCCAGGCAGCUGAUAGAAUUCAUAUGCCUUAGUAAAGGUGAUUUUUACAAUAUUUGUUCCUGUUUUGUACGCUUUACAUUUAAGUCCCUGUUAUGAAUUGUACACUAUCCAAGCAAAAUGCAUUUUUAAAUUCUCACCAACAUGCAUACUUUCUCUGUCUAAUGAAGUAAUUUGUAAGAUAAUAGC